UGCAGAGAGCCGCGGCCCUGUUGCCCGUCGAUGAUUUACGACGAGCUAGUUUGCUGCCCGACUUGGGUGAAGGGUUGAUGGAGCUUGGCAACUUGGCGGAAGCGAAAUCCGCGCUGGCGGAAGCCGAGCAAGUCGCCGGUAAGCACGGCGAUGCAAGACUGAAGGCAUCCGCCGCGCUGGUUGGCAUGUUCGUGCGACUUUACGGCGGAGAAGCAGGUGAUUGGGGCGAGCAGGCGUUGAGACUCGCAAAUGAGGUGGUUCCUGUGCUUGAGCGGGCUGACGCGCACGACGAGCUAUCAAUGGCGUGGCGGCUCGUCGGCUUUGUGCAUGGCGUCGCGGGACGCUACGGUCAAGCCGAUAAAGCCAACCUAAAGUAUCUUUCUCACGCUCGCAUAGCCGGCAAUGAGCGGCUCGUGGCACGAAGCGCGAGAGGCGUUGCAAUCGGAGCAUUGCUCGGACCGACACCCGUACCGCAGGCCAUCGAAAUCUGCGCUGGCAUCCUUGAAAGUGGCAACAGCGAUCGGCAAGUGGAGAGCGUCGUCUUGUGCGUGCUUGCUCAGUUGCGUGCCAUGAGUGGUGACUUUGAUACCGCCCGCGCGCUCUACCGACAAGGGCGCUCGGUACUGCGCGAGCUGGGCGCCAGUGUCAGCGCUGCCGCGACUGGGAUUGACCUCGCCCGGGUCGAACUCCUCGCCGGCGACCUGUCCAUCGCGGAAAGAGAAAUGCGCGCGGACUACGAGUUUCUGACGCAAAUUGGCGAAAAUUAUCUACGCUCGACUCUUGCGGCAGUGUUCUCGCAGGUUCUGCGGGACAUCGGACGCGAAGACGAAGCACUCGCCAUGUCGAAGGUCGCAGAAGAAGCCGCAGCCGAAGACGACGUUGAGACGCAGACCCUUUGGCGGGCGGCCCGAGCCCCGCUCAUCGCUCGGGCAGGCGACAUUGAAUCAGCGCUGGAACUGGCACGAGCAGCACUUGAGUUCGCCAGCAAGACAGACGGCCCCAUUCUUCGUGCCGAGGCUCUCCGCGAGCUGGCGUCCGUCCAAAAAGAGGCGGCACGCCUCGACGAAGCGCGCGCCGCUAUUACCGAGGCAGUCAGCCUGUUCGUUGCCAAAGGCGACAUCGUGUCCGCCGAGCGCGCAAAAAAAUGGGCCCGGGAACAGAUCCCGGGCCCGUCCGUAUAGUCCGAAGCGGGCCCAUUCGUAGGCUGAUCAGUUUUGGUAGCGACCGUUGUCCAUCGCGCGGAUUACGUACUCCCAGUCCUCCCGCAGGUCCACGAUUGGAUAGUUACUCGGAAACGCCGUGCGCGAAAAGACGCAGGGUUGAUGGCUCAGUGGCAAGGCCGGAUUCGUGCUGCAGUUGGGCACAGGAACGAAAUUCACGUUGUCAAACGCGUAGUAAACGAUCGAAGUCUCGAUCGCCGACUGGUCCCCGCCGUGCUUGCCCUCGUGCCUAUCGUCGCAAUGACCCUUCCCCUUCUCUUUGUCGCAAGACAGGAUCGUCGUCUUGUCUCUGCGCAGGAUGAUGGUCAGGUAAG
rnacentral:misc_RNA from 1 species